GAUGAAACGCUGAUGAGGAUUAGUAUAGUUUGAGAGGUCUUUAGACAGAGAGGAAAUGGCUGGUGGAAAUUUCCAAAGAUACAGACUAAGAACCUGCCUCUGAGUUCGCCAUCGGAAGGUUUUUGCCGAAAGAUGUGCGCGGUUUUAAACCGUUAAGAUACCAAGUGUGUGCAGUCCGUGAUUGGUUGCAAACAAGGGUGGUACCACCACAGACCUCGGUCCCUUUU
rnacentral:ncRNA from 1 species